rnacentral:rRNA from 1 species
UACGUAGGGGGCAAGCGUUGUCCGGAAUCAUUGGGCGUAAAGCGCGCGUAGGCGGCCCGAUAAGUCCGCUGUAAAAGUCCAGGGCUCAACCCUGGAAAGCCGGUGGAUACUGUCGGGCUAGAGUCCGGAAGAGGCGAGUGGAAUUCCUGGUGUAGCGGUGGAAUGCGCAGAUAUCAGGAGGAACACCAGUGGCGAAGGCGGCACUCUGGGCCGGUACUGACGCUGAGGAGCGAAAGCGUGGGGAGCGAACAGG